UACGUAGGGGGCUAGCGUUGUCCGGAUUUAUUGGGCGUAAAGCGCGUGUAGGCGGCCAGGUAGGUCUGCUGUGAAAACUCGAGGCUCAACCUCGAGAUGUCGGCGGAAACCAUCUGGCUAGAGUCCGGAAGAGGAGAGUGGAAUUCCCGGUGUAGUGGUGAAAUGCGUAGAUAUCGGGAGGAACACCAGUGGCGAAGGCGACUACCUGGCCUGUUCUUGACGCUGAGGCGCGAAAGCUAGGGGAGCAAACGGG
rnacentral:rRNA from 1 species